rnacentral:rRNA from 1 species
AUUGAACGCUGGCGGCAUGCUUUACACAUGCAAGUCGAACGGUAACAGGCCGCAAGGUGCUGACGAGUGGCGAACGGGUGAGUAAUGCAUCGGAACGUGCCCAGUCGUGGGGGAUAACGCAGCGAAAGCUGUGCUAAUACCGCAUACGAUCUGUGGAUGAAAGCGGGGGACCUUCGGGCCUCGCGCGAUUGGAGCGGCCGAUGUCAGAUUAGGCAGUUGGUGGGGUAAAGGCUCACCAAGCCGACGAUCUGUAGCUGGUCUGAGUGGACGACCAGCCACACGGGAGCUGAGACACGGCCCAGACUCCUGCGGGAGGCAGCAGUGGGGAAGUUUGGACAAUGGGCGCAAGCCUGAUCCAGCAAUGCCGCGUGCAGGAAGAAGGCCUUCGGGUUGUAAACUGCUUUUGUACGGAGCGAAAAGGCUCCCUCUAAUACAGGGGGCUCAUGACGGUACCGUAAGAAUAAGCACCGGCUAACUACGUGCCAGCAGCCGCCGUAA